CACAAAAGACUAGAGUGUAAAACACACCUGCACUUUUAUGCAGCAGGAAAGCAAUGCCUGUGAUACUACACACAGUGCAGAGCCUGCAGUCAGCGAGCAGACCAACCGGCGCGCGACAUGAUACGAGCUGUUGUGCAGCACAAAGGACAACCAAAGGGUCCCUGAAAUAUGAGAGCGAAGAAAACACUUUGAGUCAAUUUGUGACUUUGUAGUUUACAUUUUAUUUGAAACAGACUUUCAUACCAUUGAGCAGGCAGUUUCAUGGAGGAUGGAUGUGAGUCCCACUCAUCACUGGCCCCAAGAAAACAUUUUCUGGGUCUCCUCAAAGAAGAUACACCAGAUUUAAAGGCAUAUUACACUGAAAAACAUCACAAGUUGCUUCGUUUUUUGAGAACAAACUAAACAAAAAUGCUUCAGUGGCAGCAGAUAAAAGUAAAACACACUUUCCAUCAACAGCAACAUGACUAAGUUUUUGCCUCUGUGUUUGUGUCUUCACUAAAACAAUAGUCAGCAGACCACGGAGAAAACUCCCACUGUUUGGACUGCAUUUGGAGCAUGAAACCGGCUUGGUCAGUCAGUGAGAGUUAAAAAGACAAACUGGAUGAAGCCGCUUCUGGUUUUGAUUUCAUUUGAGAGAGUGUCUUUUCUACUCUUGCACAAGAGCUAACCUGUCCUCCGGUUGGACGGCGGCCAAGUGAACAUGCCGAGACCGACUCGGAUCCUCAGUGCAUUUCCCCGUCAUCUGUAAACCCACCACCUCCGACAGGCCUUGAUAGCAUAUCGCUGUGUAAUUACAGAAGGACCCAGAAGAUCUCCGCAGAGCCGAACCCACACGUGCAGUCUGUAAAAUGUGUGUAUAAACGAGCUCAUGACUCAACAGUGAUAUUUUGCAACAGUGGCUGUUAAGAUGCAUUGUUAACCUAUGAAAAAAGUUAAGCUAGAGUGGACAGGAAUGCUCUGAAAUGAUGAAUUUCUGUCUACCACUUAUAAAUGUGUGUAUGUGUGAGAAAGUUUGUGUCAAGACUUUCAACAAAAGUAGAACUGUCCCCCCCUAAUGGCUCCAUAUUGCGUCAGAAAUUUUUACUUCGCUGGCUCGCUCUCCCUCUCCCUCUCCCUCCCUCUCUCUCUCUCUCUCUCUCUCUCUCUCUCUCUCUCUUCUUAAUAUAUAAUUGUCAGAUAACUCUGUCAUGAAUUAAUGCACAAACAGACAUGGUCUGACAUGGGCAAUCUACUAUUAACUUGGUCAAAAACACCACUGCCAAUGCUUGCACAAUUAAAAUAAAAAAUUAA
ensembl:lncRNA